GGCGGCCUUAGCGCGGUGGUCCCACCUGACCCCAUGCCGAACUCAGAAGUGAAACGCCGUAGCGCCGAUGGUAGUGUGGGGUCUCCCCAUGCGAGAGUAGGCGGUGGUCC
rnacentral:rRNA from 1 species